UUCCUGAGGGACUAGUGGUUAGGCCAUGGCACUCCCACUGUUGCGGCCCGGGUUUGAUUCCUGGCCGGGGAG